rnacentral:rRNA from 1 species
AUUGAACGCUGGCGGCAGGCCUAACACAUGCAAGUCGAGCGAGCGGCGGACGGGUGAGUAAUGUAUGGGGACUGCCCGAUAGAGGGGGAUAACUACUGGAAACGGUAGCUAAUACCGCAUACUAUCGGAUAACCCAUAUGGGAUUAGCUAGUAGGUGAGGUAAUGGCUCACCUAGGCGACGAGCCCUAGCUGGUCUGAGAGGAUGAUCAGCCACACUGGGACGGGGACACGGCCCAGACUCCGACGGAGGCAGCAGUGGGGAAUAUUGCACAAUGGGCGCAAGCCUGAUACAGCCAGGCCGCGGGUAUGAAGAAGGCCUUAGGUUUGUAAAGUACUUUCAGGGGGGAGGCGUUACAGAAAGAAGAAGCACCGGCUAACUCCGUGCCAGCCGCCGCGGUAAUAG